GCUUUCGUGGUGUAAUGGUCAGCACACUGAGCCGGUAUUUCAGAGGUCCGCGGUUCGAUUCCCGGCGAAGGCG
rfam:Stegodyphus mimosarum contig20972, whole genome shotgun sequence.